CAGGCUGCCCAGAGUCACAUCCAGCUUGGCCUUGAAUGCCUCCAGGGAUGGGGCAUCCACAGCCUCUCUGGGCACUCUUGUCUCUUUUUGUUUACUGAAUUCAGACUUGUCCAUCUAAGUUUUAGACGCAUGCAGCAGAGAUAAUGAAUCCCCAUCACUGAAGCCUGAUAGAAAAGAAAUGGUACUGCAGCGCAUAAAUUCUGCUUUUAAUCAAUGUUCCUAUGAAUAAUUGUAGGGUCAUGCAUCUUUAGCGCUUCAAGCAAAAAUAUUACUAACUCUGGCACUGGAGAAUGAUUGGAUGGGAAUGAAUGGAUGAAGUGUGGGGCAUUUGGAUCUCCACUGUCCAUGUGAAACAUCACUAUUUGUUAAUUUUAAAUAAGAUUAAUUAAAUCUUUGUGAAUGAUGACCUGUAAAUUUCACUACCUUAAUAAGAAUUUAUAUAUGGAAAACAUAUCUUCAUAUAAUCUCAGGCUCUAUAACAUCUUGGAGAAACUGAAUGUAUUCUAAUGUAGCAUUUAAAUCAUGGCUGCUCAAGUGAAAACAUUGCUUUUUAUGAAAAGAAUAUAUGAAGGAAAUGCAUUAUGUGGAGUCCCACACAGCUGCAGCAGUGGUCCUCUGGGGUCGCUAUGCACACACAUACACUCCCCAAAAAAAGGGAAAAAGAAAAAGGGAUUUUAGUGCUGCCUUUUAUGAUGUGCAGAAAGCUUCUCUGGAAAGCUCAUGUAAUGAAUGCCGUGCAGUUCCAGGAAGAGUGUUGUGGCAAGAACAUUUCUUGUACUUUCUCAUCACUGUGUGACCUUGAUAUGUUUUAUUAUUUUAAACACUUAAUUGUGUUAUUUAAAACCUCUUAUAAUUACUCAGUUCUCUAGAGGCAUACUUACAGCUUUUGCACAACAGUUCUAGGUAGAUCCUGAAGAAAUUAUUGAGGAAAUCCUGUGAAAUACAAUAUUGUAGAAGCACUCUAUGGGUUAGUUAUAAUAAGUACAGGAAUGUGCAUAACAAGCUAGCUUACUGCUUCUUGAUUCCUGCAGUAGGAAGUCACAGCUCCGCAGAGGCAGUACGAGGAGUGCAGCACUGCAGCACCUGCCAGAAGUGUUUUGCUCCACAGUUACUACAUGAGUGUUGCUCUCCACCUGAGGCCAUGUCUGGCAGUACCGGAGUCCAAAUGCAGUGCAGACAGACAGAGGCUCUAGACAAGAUGAAGGCAGCUGCAUACAUUUGAUCAGACUCUCACAUUAGCUGGAUUCUGACAGGCUGGCACCGUCCUCCUUUAGCAGUGUCCUUUGUGCAUACAAAUAUGCUGGCACAAGGAUUUCCUGAACUGCGUGGCUGAGGCUUACCAGCAUGGGAACCCUGCUACCACAGGGAGUGAAUCAGUGUCUUGCCUACAAGGUUCAGACAAUUUUGUUUCCCAUUUCAGGCAUUGCUCUGGAUACACGAUACAUCCAGUUAAUCUUCAACGGGCAAUUUCAGACGUUAUAGAUCCACUUAUACCUUGUGAUGAAUUACUGCAGUGUUUGGCAAAUAUUAAAUAACAUUUUUUGUUGACAUGGAAGUGUGACCUGCAGGCUGCAGCUGGUCCCAGUGCUCGUCACUGUUUGUGUCCUGCUGUCUGGCUCUUCCUCCCUCUGUUCGCUUGCUAUUGAAACACAGCUGGUUUACGUCCAUCACAAUCAAUGGAAGGACAUUUCCGAGCUGGUAAUUGCUUAAAGGAUCCGGUGCUGAUGGCUUCUGGAGCUGCCAAUCCGGGGAGCAGCUUUUGGCUCCUGCUGCGUACAGUAUGUCUGCAGUUUGACCAUUUAUCUCACUUUACAUACUUGAACUGAAAGAAAGGUUUGUGCAAGCACUUGCUCUCAUUCCCUGGCACGUCUUUCUCCCCCUCCUCCUCUCCCUCCCUCCCUCUCUUGCAUGUUAUCAGCUAUUGCAACAGUACUAAAAUGUGUCAUAUAAGGUGAAUGAUGGUGCCUGGUUCCAAAGUAAUGCUAAUGGAGAACUGAAUCAUUGUAUAAGGUGUCACUUUGAAAUAGUCACUUGUUCAUGAUUAUAGGGAAAGGAAUACAGUUAUACUGGCUGUAUUCUAAUUGAUUGCUAUUGAUCCAUGCUUUGAUUAUUAAUUGCAGGUACAGAAAAUAUAUUUGGCAUUUUCACUGGCAUUUUUAUAGGCAUUUGUAAGCUCAGAGUUUUCUCUGCUAAGGAGAUACAUGAGGUGAAGGGACAAUGAAGUCAGUCUUCUGUAGGCGUUUGAUUAGCUUCAUUUACAAUAUCGCAGGAUAAAUUUUUUUGGGUGGGAUAAAAUAUUUGGUGGGAUCUAAUCUGCAGAUCCUGUUUAUUCUAGGACUUCAGUUCCUAAAAGCCACUCUUGUUAAUCCUGUAGGCAUCUAAAUUCACUCAGCCACUAAACCUCACUAGCUAGUUGAAAGCUCCUUGAGUCUGUGGUUUUAUUCACUUGUAAAAGUUCGUAUUGCUGUUGUUAGGAAAUUGGUGUCUAUCUGUCAUCCAAAGCAGCCUGUGAUUCAAGCUAAGGAAGACAGGUGCACAAACACUGCCCCCUCCCCCCAAAACAAAACAAAACCCAAGAAAAACAACAAUAACAAACAAACAAAAAUUAAACUGAACCAAAGCUGAAAAAUGAGAUUUUGUCAAACCGGUAAUUAGUUUUCUUUGAUAUAAUGACACUGCCCAUGUGUCGCUGAUUAGCUGGGUGUCUAACAUGCUGACAUAAGAAGGGCAAAGCUGAGUUGUUAGCACACUGACAGAAAACUGAUAACAGAAGGGAAAUACUGUUUAUCAACUUUCUUUCAUCCCACAGGCAUGUGGAUUCCUUAGAGCUCUUACUGGAGACCCAGUUAAUUGCAACAUGCAUCUCCAUUAGAAUGGAUUAUCAGUAGAUGAAAAAAGGAAAACUGCAUUGGGAGCAUUUGUCUACCUUUUCUCCUACCACUCCCCAGUGUUUUUUAGGCUAUACAGGAAGGAAGUUCCUAAAAUAAACAUUUUACUCUUUUUUCCUCCCCUUCCCUUUCCCUUUCCCCCUCCCCCUUCCCCUUGCCCCUCCCCUUCCCCUUCCCUUUCCUCUUCCUUUUUCCUUCCCUCCAUCACGACUUUAAUGAUUCUGCUCACUUCAAUGCAUAUCAAUUCAUAUAUAUUUGUACAGGGAGGAAUGCUAUCUUCCUGCUUUAGCAUCUUUGUUUAGCUCACCUGUUUUUCAUGACUAUUCCUAUCCGUUUGCUUCCCAGGCUCCCCAGAGACUGCAUAUAUAUCCAAAUGGAGGUGACAGAAGCAUCAUAAAGUGGUCUGUUUUCUUCAGGUCAGAUGCUGAGAAAGCUCUGAUAUGUAGCUAUCAGAUAAUUGGAAGUAAAAGUACUCCUAGCUCUAUGGAAUAUAGAAAGUUCCUAAUAAUUUCUCUUAUGUCUUAUUUUAUGCAUCCAAUGAGAUGUCACCAGAUGGCAGGAAAUGUAUUUAGCUUCCCCCACCCUACUUUUCUCCUCACAAUUUUCAUCAUUAGUCCAUUAUAUCAGUUCUGCCCCAGGUAUAGGAUAGAUCAUGCUUGAUGGAGAAGAACGCUUAUUUUCUUUACAAAAGACUGUGUUUAAAUAACUGAUAUUCAGAUCUGCAGAAACCUCAGUCCAUGUAUACUAAACUCCUCUGUCUGAUUGUGUUUUGGUAUGCACAUACACUAUGUGGCAGAAUACUUCAAGGAAAGAAAAAGAGUGUGACAGUGUUUCCUUUACAAGGAAGAGCCCUGGAAGGAAGAAGCUCAGCUCAGAGCUGCAGCUGAAUGGAAUCCAUUCCUGUUUUAGUUGCUUGCACAUGGCCAAAAAAAUAAUAAAUACAUUUUGGAAUGACUUUCUGGCUGAAAACUGUUCAGUUAUUGAAAUGUGGCCAAGCAAUAUGGAAGGGGAUUAGUAAUUAAUUUGACAACUGGCAGAAAUACUUCUGUGAUACAAUCUAUUUCUAGUUAUUAUUAAAUUAUAUAUUUUCAUGUUAUCUUUCCUAAAGUGUAUUCUUAAAGGAAAAGUCUUCAAAAGAACAGGACUAAAUAUGAGUGAAGAACUUUCUUGCUGGCUUGUUAGCAAUGUCUAUCAGUUUUGUACUGGCUGCAGAUGACUACAAAUACAAGUGCAGCGGAGCAAAUCAGACCAUAGGAGAGUAUCUACAAUAGUUAAACCAUUAGGCAAGAAGGCACACAGGUAACUGUCACCAAUACUUAGCUUUUAAAUAAGAACUGAAAUGUGCUUAACUCAUGUUUUCAGUAGGACAGAGAAGACUGAAAUUCAAGGACUUUUAGUAUGAUAUGGGACAGUCACAUUCCUGCAGUUUUGUAGACUUUUUACAGAAAAUUUCUAUUUUCCUGAAAUUUUAUAGGAGUCAAUGUUUAAGUAUAAAAUAUCACAGUGAGAACACUUGUAGGGUGCAUAUUCAAUUAUAGUGAACAACUUUCUACAUUCAAAAGUAAUACAACUUACUGUCAAAGUAUUUUGUAGGAAAAACAUGUGUGCACUUAACAUUUAAGCUUCAUUUCUUUCUGUUAAAAUAGUAGUUGGAAAAGUGACAUGUGCACAUCAACAUGCAGGCUUUAAUAGUCCAAGAUAUCAUGGGAAUGAUUUUCUCUCAAUGCAAAGGUAGAAUUACCUUUUUCCUUGUAGUUUUAAUCUAAAAUUAAGAUUUGUGAAGUAUGGAUUUCCUACUGUCUAGGUUUCUCACCUGAUAGAAUAGAACUGUUUGCCUUCCUCUGCAAGAUAUGAAAAGCAUUAAUUGAAUAUGAAGUUUGACAGACUUUCCUAGGAUUUAUAAGAAAGUGAGUGAACAGAUCAAAAGAGAGAGAAAUGUCAUUCAUAGUUUAAGUACUCCUGAGCUCUAACACAAUUCCACAGAGUUUACUUUAGCCAAUAGUGUUUCUAAGGCAGUCGUUGUAUAUAUGGUUUUAUCCUACACCAAGCAAACAUUUCACAAAUAUGGUGCAUUUACCUGCAGGUUAAAAGAAGAAACCCUGAAAAUGGCAGUGCCUUAAUAAAAUAACAAUAGUGUAAAAGGAACAGUAGGAACUGAGCUUUCUGUUUGCAGCAAACAGCACGUGGAUUAGUGCAUCUAAGUUCCUUACGUGAAAAAAAAAAAAGAUAAAUAAUAAACAUAAAUAAAAGCUCAUUCUGAUUUGUGUGCAUUUCUUUACUAUUUCCCAGAAUAUACAGUGUAAAUCUAUGUCAAACACCAGAUGUUCCUCACAUUACAGCACUGUGGCCUAAAUCCAAAUAUCUGAAUGUUGCAUGGAUGCUUGAUAUUAAUGAGUGACAUUUCUUAUUCCUUAAUAAAAUAAAUAAAUAAGGCAAACCAGCAAUUGGAUUGUGCCACCUCUCAAGCAGCUCUGAUUCACAUGAAAAUACUCAAAAUGAUAAAUGAUGCCUUCAUAACUAACUCUGACCACUAAUUCUAUAGCAAAUAAAGAGGACAAAAGGGAAAUAGUCACAGAUGAAUGCAUGAUUCAGAUUUGUCAAAUGCAAGUGACAAUCUCAACACGCUUUGGUGAUGAAUAAAAUAGAAACAUUAUGCCUUAAGGAAAUAAUGCAUUCAUUGUCAUCUUAAAGGUCCGCAAAAUUCAUGUCCAGCAUCUAUGACUGCAGGGUAAUUAAAAUAGUAUGUUAAUUCAGAGCUGCAGAUCUGUGUAUCAGAGAGGAAAUAGCUAACAAUUAUAUAAUGUAAGAUUGUAUAUACUCAUAGGGUGGUUUGGCUGUAUUCAUAUCACAAACUUUUGGUAGCUUUCAGACUUAUUGGGGGCUACAUGGAAGAAUAAAGAAUCAAAAGUGGAAAUAACAUCGAAGAGAAAAUAAAGGGAAGGAUGAAAUAUAAAAAAAAUUACCUGUGUGGGACAGUACCAAUGGUUCUUUUAUCCCAGUUUCUUCUAGCAUGCAUACAUAUUUGUUUAUUUGUUUGUUUUUAGUACAAAGAAGAAUAAUGGACCCUCCAGAAUUCCCUGCUCAACAUUAUCUGCUCUUCACAAAAGGAUAUAUUGCGAAUUUAUUGUUUGUACCAAGCAGUGAAAUCUCUGACUGUUCCCUUUGCUUUACUUUCAGUUUGGUUAGCAGGUGUAAAACAUAGUUUUCUUAUCAAAGGUUUGGUGUUUAAUAUCUUUACAAUAAAAAUAUACCAUACAUGCUUACAAUUA